GCUCAACCCCUGGCGCAGCAGCGGCGGCGGCGGCGGCGGCGGCGGCAGAGCGGGCGAGCGCGCGCGAGAUCGCGGCGAUCCGGAGGGCGGGGACCGCGCACGGUCCACUCCGGGGCUGUGCGGAGGCGCGGGCUCUGGGCUCCCGGCUCCGGGCGGCGGAAGCGGCGCCUCCAAUCAGGCGGCGGGCUCGCGACCCUCGGCGCGCCCGGCCGGUGCCGCCCGCCCCGCGGACUGACUGACGCGCCGGCUCGCCCCCGCCCCCGCGCCCGCCCGCCCGCCCGCCCCCGCCUCGUCUCCGCUGGCUCGGCACAGACUGCGCUCCGCUCCACUCCGCUCUCCUCUCCUCUCCUCCAGCCUCGCCGGGCCCUCUCCCUGCCAGCCUUUGCUCCUCGGCUGCGCGGCGGCAGCGGCCCGCUCGCUAGGCAGCUGCAAGCGACCUCAGAGGCGGCGGCGGCGGCGGCGGCGGCGUCGGGGAGGAUGAAGUGCAAGCCGAACCAGACGCGGACCUACGACCCCGAGGGCUUCAAGAAGCGCGCCGCGUGCCUGUGCUUCCGCAGCGAGCGCGAGGACGAGGUGCUGCUGGUGAGCAGCAGCCGCUACCCCGACCGCUGGAUCGUGCCGGGAGGGGGCAUGGAGCCCGAGGAGGAGCCGGACGGCGCGGCGGUGCGCGAGGUGUACGAGGAGGCGGGAGUCAAGGGGAAGUUGGGCCGCUUGCUGGGCGUCUUCGAGCAGAACCAGGACCGCAAGCACCGGACCUACGUGUUCGUGCUCACCGUCACCGAGCUGCUGGAGGAUUGGGAAGACUCGGUCAGCAUCGGCAGGAAGCGCGAGUGGUUCAAGAUCGAAGAUGCCAUCAAGGUCCUGCAGUGCCACAAGCCCGUGCACGCCGAGUACCUGGAGAAACUGAAGCUGGGCGGCUCCCCUACUAAUGGGAACUCGGCCGCCCCGUCCCCGCCAGAGAGCGAGCCCUAGUAUGUACCGCUCCCGCCCGGACUCCUGCCUGUCGCCUCCCCGCACUUGCCUCCUGCUUGCCUGGGGAGCACCUCUCCUGCCCUGUGCGCCCUCCUGCACGGGCAGGAGGGAGGCUUCUUUUGUUUCCUUGGCAGGCAGACCUCUGAAUCACGCUUGCAAACUGUCUCGGUUGCCAGGCGCUGUUUGCAGACAAUUUGCACGUUUUUCAGAUGCUUUUCCAAUCGCUUCUUGGUGACACUGUAAAAAUCUUGCGGUCAGCCACAGCUGCAUGGGAUUUUGUGAAAGGUGCCUUAGCUGCUUGCUCUGCUCUUCUUGGAGGGUGUGCGUGUUUGUGUGUGUGUGUGUGUGUGUGUGUGUGUGUGUGUGUUCACCUGUGCAUUGAUGUGUACUCGUGCGCCAGUCUGCUCUGUAAUGUUUUUGUUUGGAUGGGUUUUCCCCCCGUUAAACAGCCUUUACAUGUGUUUGUGCAUAGUGUGCGUGCGCAACUUUGUUGUAGGGCUUUUUCUGGUUUGUUUCCUAGUGAAGGGACCUUUAGUUUUAUCCACUGGUGAAGGGCCAGCGCACUGUGUCAGGCGGACUUCUUUUUUUGGUUCCUGGUUUCUUUCUCUCUCUCUCUCUCUCUCUCUCUCUCUCUCUCUCUCUCUCUCUUUCUCUCUCGUUUUCCUCUUGCUUCUUGGCAGUGGCCCAUUCUUGGUAGACUUUGACUCAGAUGAUUUGUUUGAAAAUAAAUGAAGAAAAAGAACAACUGGUGCUUUACACAGUUUCCUUUUUGUAGACAGUACUUUUAGCAUCCAAAAUGCCAUCAAACAGUCCCAGAGAAGGAACUUCGUGGUUUUUUUUUUUUUCAUAUGACCAAAAACCAUUUUAAUUUUCAAGAAAAAAAUUACAGCUGAGGAUUUUUUUUAUUGCUGACUUAAAACGCCCUAUAUAAUUUACAAACUGUUCCCCUGGUAGAAUCGAUAUUUCUAGAGAAUUGCUAAUUAGUUACUUAUUUUGAGGAUAAUUGUGGUUAUUCCGUUGUUUUAGCCUGCGCAUCCAGCAGCUUCCAAUGACCAGCACAUUUCUGGAUACUCAUUAAAAAUGAUAGUUUUUCUCCCUGUAUGUCCAUUUUGAAAGAAAGUAAUUUAUACUUGAAUUUACUGAUGUCCCAGGUUAAAUUCCCUGUCAGUUACCACGGGAGUGGGAAUCUUUAAUGUGACCGCAUAUUUGUAGCCAUUCAAAUCAUGAAUGGGUUUAUAUUCUUGCUGCUCAGCUGUUCUCCAACUGUGAAGACAUGGGAACCACUUAUCUCAUAGACCCAGAGUAAACAUUUCAUUCCUUACCACAAAUCUUUUGGUUGUUCUACUGGUCUUGUUCUUACCUUGAUACUUGUUUCAAAUAAGGAGUCACUUGUAAGUCAUUCCACAUUCUCUUCUAAAGCUCUGAUCACCUUCCCCUGCCAUGUCUAUUUGGGUAUCUAGAAAGCCUUUUUAAAGACUGUUUUAAGACUGGAAAGAUCACUCCAUAUUUGAGCGUUUUCAAGAAACAUCACAGAUGAGAAUGAUGAAUGUGCUUGGGGAAUUAACCGUGUAAAAGAACUAACCUCACUUGAGUUGGAGCUAUUUACUUUUUAUUCUUAUUUUGCAAACAGAAAACAAUUCAUAGAAUGUAUUUUGAUCAUAAUCUUUGCCCUGCCCCCAGUACUCCUCAUCCUUACCCACACUCAGAUUUGUGUUCCUUCUUGCUUAAAAACAAAACCAAGGAAACAAACAAAACCCACAAAAAGACAGCAAAUCACAGCAAGAUAAAAGCACACAAAAUAACAUGGAGUCUGUUUUGUGCUCGUCACCUGUUCCCUGAACACGAGACAUACCCAGGAGUUGAGUUGGUAGACAUAGUGUAACUCCUUUAGAGACACAGGAUUUUCUCUGUCCCAGAAAGUACCUAUUGCAAAGAGCUUCAUGGUUAGGGCUAGGACUUUCUACUCCCUUCCCCUUCUCCAUGCUGAGAUUUUUUUCGUGGCUCAGAUUUGUGCAGGCCUUGUACUAACUGUCUCAGGCUCUAUGAGCGCAUGUGCACAUCAACCCUGCUGUGUCCAGAGGAUGCUGUUUCCUAGGAUCAUAUACCACUUCUUACUCUACAAUCUUUCCAUUGAAUUCGCUUCCCCAUAGAUCCCUGAGCCUCGAGGAAGGGUGUUUAAUAAAGAGAGCCCCAGUUCAUUGCUCUCACAAUUAUUUUUAAAACAUAACUACUGCUAAAACUUUGAGCAUCAUCUUUAUAAAAAGAUGGUUUUCAUUUAGUUCAUGUACAUAUCAAUGUGUGAAUCAAUUGGUAUUUCAGGAAUGCAUGAAGUACAUCAAUAUCCAGCUCCAGAAACUCACACUCUAUUUCUAACUCCUUAUCACAAUACUGGGAUUCUUCUUCUGUCUUUUAAUACCAGAGAUAAUUUUGGUUUUGAACUGUAUGUAUCCCGGUUCUUACUGCCUUAUUGUGCAACUUAAUAUUCAGAGUAUUCAAAUGUUUUUCUCCAUUGGGCUGGAGUUAUUUAAAAAUUCAUACUGCUUUAAGCUUCUAAAAGUGGGGUCCUUGGAUUUUUCUAAAGAAAUGCGGUUUACCUUUAAGAAAAAAUUUCUUGCACAUUUAAAACAUAAAGCCUAAUUUCCAAAAUAUAUCUUGAUCUCUCAUCAAAGGAAAAAUUAUAUGACUAAUUUGAAGCACUUAUUUUUAAUUCUAAUCAAAAUGUCAUUUGCUAGUUAAAAAGUUUCUAAUAGAUUCUGUGAUUUCAUCUCAAUUAACCUUAAGUUCUCCAUUGAUCUAGCAUAUAAAAUGGAUUUGGGUUUCUGGAUAUUUCUUUUUAUAAAAGCCUUAGAAAUGCAUUGAAAGCUUUCCUUGUACUUGGUAUUAGUCAGCAAUGCAUCAGCCUUUAAAAUUAAAUUUUAUUUGUAUGUGUGUGUAUGCAUGUGCACAUACAUGCAUAAAUAGCCCUCAUGCAUAUAUAUACAUGUGUGUAUAUGUGUUUGGGUGGGUGUGAGAAUGCCCUUGUAUAGCUGUGGAGGUCAGAGAACUAUGUGAGGGAGUGGUGGUGUCUUCCACCAGGUGGGUCCCAGGAAUAGAACUCAUGUAGUCAGUGAUUGGCAGCAAGUACCUUACCCACUGGGCCAUCUUGCAGGUCCUCUUCUUGCAUUUUUAAAUUAUAUAUUUUGCAUAAUCAAAAUGUAUUCAUAAUUCAUUAUUAAGAAUUGUUUGCCUAAAAAUAUACUGUGGCUUUCCCCCCUUUAAAAAUUACUUGGUUUCUUUAGGCUUGAGUUUCGACAUCAUUGAAAAAAUUUUAAUGUUCUAUGAAACAUAGACAUGUCAGAGAAAUUACAAACUCCUAGGAAAUGAUUUUUAUCUUUAAGGUUUUGUCAAUAGUCCCAGAUUUGAACAGGUUACCAGGGAUAAUAUAUUAAUUUCUACGAGUCAGUCUUCUAAAGACUGUUUAGAAACUGGGUAUUUUUUCCUUGUGAGAGUGCUCAUUUUACAUACUAGUUAUAUGUAUACUGAAAUAUACAGCCAAAUUUUACAUCCAUCUUUGAGGAAAAGGAAGGAAUAUUCCCAACAGAUAAUUGUGAUUUGUAGACACGAAUUAGAAAUGUUUUUCCCAUUUCUUGAAGUGUUCUGUUGGUAACCAGGAAUGUUUUUCCCCAGAUCCUCAUGCAUGCUGAUCAUGUAGCAGGCCACUGAGCUCCACCCACAACUCCAAGAUAGAAUAUUUUGUUCUUCCAGAUGUACAAAGAGGAAACAUGUUAAUAUGAACCGAGGCAUGCUCAAGAUCACACUGAAAUCAUCAUUGAUGUGAACCCAGUAUCCAGUGGUAUUGUCAAGUUCACCGGAGCACCAUUAAGGUUGCCAAGGAGACCGCUCAUUCUGGUUUUCCUUCUACAUCUUGGAACACUCUUCUGUCUAUCUUACCAACGUUUUUUGCUCUGGUUGUUGUACUAUUGUGUGUGAACGGACUUAAUUCAGCACCUAUAGCCUUUCGUUGUGCUUUUCUGAUGUGUCUGCUUUCUUCAUUACACCUUUGAGAGCAAUGACUAUUUUUCCUUACUCUGCAUAUUCUGCAUCCAAGACACUACUUGAAAUAUGGUUGGCAUCACUGGAGGUCUUUGAUUCUAUUAGUAUUUUGUAAUCUCUUUGUGGCUAAACAUUUCCCUCCCAAUCUGGUGCUAGUAGAGUAUCCGCUGUCUAAGCACCACGUGUGUAGCUCAUGUGUAUUCGGUGUUGCAGAAACAUUUCAGGACAGUUUGAGAUGUUCCAGAACAAGAAUUAGUAUUCAUUUAUAUGUCAUACCACACAAUGGCUGGCAUGGUUUUAAUAUUAUGUCAUCAUUUAGGGUAACAUUUUAUAGAAUUAGUCCUUCACCUAACAACUUUAGUGUUUUUGUACUGUUGCUAAUUUGCUUAAAAUUUUAUUCAAAAGGUAUCACUUGGUAUAAAGGUAAUUGUAACACAUUACAAUGAAAACCUAUUGUGAGUUUUUAUAAAAAAUAAAUUUUAAAUUAAUAUACAAAGAAUAAUACAUUUAAUUUUUUUUGCAGUGCUCUACUUCUGAAAUGUCACCUUAACAUUUCCUUGCAGAAAAUUCUGGGGUUGUUUUUGUUGUUGUUGUUGUUGUUUACAGAUUCAAUAUUCUGUAUUAUUUGAUGAUGAGCACGAAAAAAAAAAAACCUGCUACUGAAGCAGUUUUCAGAGCUAAUUGUGCCAUUUAGUUGCUUAAGUGUCUUUUGCCUCUCUCACUUUUUCAGUUGGCUGUGGUUCUCAUCCCUUUCCUAGUACAGUGGUCUGGCUGGCUCCUCAGUACCACAAGCUCUCUGCAUGUUUAUGCAGAGGAGAGUGAGUGCUAAAUUGGUGUCCCUUAGAAAGGCUUCAGGGAAAGAGACUGCUGUAAAGGGGAAUGCAAAAUAAAGAGUUUAAAUGAGGAAGCUCAGUUUGACUCUUUCCAGAAGAAUAACUUUAUGCCAAGGACAAAGACAUUUCAGAGUUUUGUCACAGGGUGUGUGAUGUCAACACUCUUACUCAGCUCAUCCUGAGGGUUCCAAAGAGGUUCUGAUAUGGCUGGUGGUUGUGUCUCGCUUUUUCAUUAUAAACCAUUAGAUUUGGAAAGGCCUGAACUCCAAUUUAGUGUUAACACCCUUCCUCAUGGUACCAGUGAAAUGUAUUGUGUCCCCAUAUCUUACAGACGUUAAAAUAAAACCACACAUUCUAAUUUGCUGGAGUUUCUAUUUGUGACAUGUACUAUGUGGAUGUGCUUUCUAAAGAAACCCUUAUCUUUUAGAAAACUGUACUGAAAAUUUACAGAGAUGCUACUGUUAUUUGCUUCAAUAUAAUCAGGGUGGUAUACGUUUGUACAUAGAUGAAACAAGACUGACUCUGACUUGAUAAUUGUUGAAGCUGUGUGAUAGAUGUUUGAGAAUUCAUUAUUCUCUAUACUUUUGUAUAUGUUUGAAAUUUUCCAUAAUAAAAAUUGUAAAACUGUA